rnacentral:piRNA from 2 species
AGUUGUUAAAUAUUUUGAACAUCAGCUCUAC